rnacentral:rRNA from 1 species
UGGGCAACCUGCCCCUCUCUCUGGGAUAACCCCGGGGAAACCGGAGCUAAUACCGGAUACUCCGGCUGGAUCGCAUGGUCCGGCCGGGAAAGGUCCGCCGGAGAGGGAUGGGCCCGCGGCCUAUCAGCUAGUUGGUGAGGUAACGGCUCACCAAGGCGACGACGGGUAGCUGGUCUGAGAGGAUGGCGAGCCCACAUUGGAACUGAGACACGGUCCAGACCUCCGUACGGGAGGCA